AAAAUGUUUUUGUGCAAAGUAGGAGAAUUUUUCAAUUGCAAAUGUACUUCGUGUCAAAUACAAAAUUCCUAUUUUGACAUACCUAUUCAUUUUACUUGUCGUCAUUUAUAGCUAAUUUGAAAUCGAAAAACAAAGCCGAUUCCAAUCCAGUUUUAGUUGAAGUGCAAAAUUCAAAAUGGCGACGCCCAGGGGCAGCUGCCUUAUAGUGGUCAGUUCUGCAGUAGAAGGUGUGUUAGCACAGUCAUUUUUUCAAGCAUACAGUCUCAUCAGUCAAAGUUUUUCUGUUCAACUUGCCUCUCCCAAUGGUCGACAAGUGGAAUAUGUACAUCAGGAUGACAACAAUCGACGUUGGUUCAAUGAAUUCCGCUCCAAAGCAAGCUCAACACCAAUCGGGCUGGAAACAGUUGAUGUUAACCGCUAUUCAGCCAUGCUAAUCCCAGCAUGCCCAGGGGCAGUCCAUGACCUUGCCAGCAGUAAAGAUUUAUCUCAAAUCAUAGGUCACUUUGUAACAGAGAAAAAACCAAUCUGUGCAAUAGGAAUGGGUGUCGCAGGUCUGGCAUGUGCUAGGAAAGAAGAUGGAAAGUCCUGGUAUCUAGAUGGCUAUUCCAUGACAGCUCCCUCUGUAUUUGAGUUAGCUAGCCUGCCAGAGUUUCCGACCCUUCCCAUUAUCCCUGAAGACUUUAUCAAAGAUCAUGGAGCGAGAUACACAAGGAGCGAAAACGGUGCAGUUCACGUGGUGAUUGAUCGCCACCUGAUCACAGGACAGAAUGAGGCAUCAACCCUAAUGGCUACACAAAAUCUUAUACUCAUGUGUUCUCAAAAGUAGGUCCUAGAUAAUGAACACUCGGUGUGGAUUUCCCUCUUGCCACUUAUGAAAAAAGCCCUUCCCCAAGUUGUGAGCAUUAUGUACAUUGUUUAGUGAUAUUAUCCUUGGCUUGGCAACCUUUCCCAUGUCCCCCUGGCCACUGACCUUUGCUGCAAACUCCUGCCACUCAUUCAAUCCAGCAUUGAAGUGGAUGAAGACUGAGAAAGGAGAAUAUUGGUUGACACAACAAAUUAUAAGAGACAGCAGCAAAGAACAUCUUCUAACAAGUACCACCAUCAACACUAACCCAAACUUCAGUGCUGUGAAUGUUAGCAUCAAUCUUCUGUUAAUGCAUGCAGGUCUUGCACUCGUUAAUCAAAAGUCCUAACACACUUUCCUGUGGUUUGGUCAUCGCUUAACUAAUCAGUAUGGUACUUUUAGUGGUACCACAGCAGAAAUAUUUCCAUGGCCAGAUGAAUGGAAUGAAAGAUCUAUUUAACAGGAGAUUUACUUGCAGAAGUAUUAGUAAGAAAAGACAAACUUUUGGAAUACGUUAUAUACUGGAUCAGUGUGUGAUGUUGCCUUUAGCUGAAAGUACAAUUAUUUUACAGCA